rnacentral:lncRNA from 1 species
UUCCAGUUUUCCAGAUUCGCUCGCCUGUCUGAGCACCUUGGUGAAGGAAAUGAUGGACUUUUGGGAGAAACCUUAGAAUCCUACAGGUCUUCCCAUAGGCCUACACUAGGGCUGUUUACCACUGGAAGCCAGGGAAAGGGGGAGACUGGCCUGGAACCGUUGAAGAUCUGCCUGCAGGUCUGCUGUAGGGCUUGAGAUUACUGGAAGCAAAGAAACAAGGAGGAAAUUGCCCCUGAUCAGUAUAGACUGGUAAGAGGAUGGGAACUGCCU